GACGAACGCUGGCGGCGUGCCUAAUACAUGCAAGUCGAACGAGAACGACUGGUGCUUGCACUGGUCAAUCUAGUGGCGAACGGGUGAGUAACACGUGGGUAACCUGCCCAUCAGAGGGGGAUAACAUCCGGAAACGGAUGCUAAAACCGCAUAGGUCUUCGAGCCGCAUGGCUUGAAGAGGAAAAGAGGCGCAAGCUUCUGCUGAUGGAUGGACCCGCGGUGCAUUAGCUAGUUGGUGAGGUAACGGCUCACCAAGGCCGUGAUGCAUAGCCGACCUGAGAGGGUGAUCGGCCACAUUGGGACUGAGACACGGCCCAAACUCCCACGGGAGGCAGCAGUAGGGAAUCUUCCGCAAUGGACGCAAGUCUGACGGAGCAACGCCGCGUGAGUGAAGAAGGUUUUCGGAUCGUAAAACUCUGUUGUUAGAGAAGAAACAA
rnacentral:rRNA from 1 species